GAUGAACGCUGGCGGCGUGCCUAAUACAUGCAAGUCGAGCGAACAGAUGAGGAGCUUGCUCCUCUGACGUUAGCGGCGGACGGGUGAGUAACACGUGGAUAACCUACCUAUAAGACUGGGAUAACUUCGGGAAACCGGAGCUAAUACCGGAUAAUAUAUUGAACCGCAUGGUUCAAUAGUGAAAGACGGUUUUGCUGUCACUUAUAGAUUGAUCCGCGCCGCAUUAGCUAGUUGGUAAGGUAACGGCUUACCAAGGCAACGAUGCGUAGCCGACCUGAGCGGGUGAUCGGCCAGACUGGAACUGAGAAACGGUCCAGACUCCUACGGGAGGAAGCAGUAGGGAAUCUUCCGCAAUGGGCGAAAGCCGGACGGAGCAACGCCGCGUGAGUGAUGAAGGUCUUCGGAUCGUAAAACUCUGUUAUUAGGGAAGAACAAAUGUGUAAGUAACUAUGCACGUCUUGACGGUACCUAAUCAGAAAGCCACGGCUAACUACGUG
rnacentral:rRNA from 1 species